GAUGAGUUCUCCCUGACCCUUUAAGGGUCCUGAAGGAACGUUGAAGACGACGACGUUGAUAGGCCGGGUGUGUAAGCGCAGCGAUGCGUUGAGCUAACCGGUACUAAUGAACCGUGAGGCUUAACCUUACAACGCCGAAGGUGUUU
rnacentral:rRNA from 1 species